AUGUAUAUAUGUAUAUAUGUGUGUGUAUGUAUAUAUGUAUAUAUGUGUGUGUAUGUGUGUAUAUACACACAAAUACACUCAUAUAUACACACACACAUACAUACACAUACAUAUAUACAUAUGUGUGU